rnacentral:lncRNA from 1 species
AUUAAAAUAGUUCGAAAAAUUAAUCAGGAAUAACUUUAUGUUUUGAUUUAUAUUAUUGAUAUAAAUCAAAACAUCGUGUUAUUCCUGAUUAGUUUUUCUAAUUUCUUUAUUUAGGUGUUGAGAACCUUUUGUGACCCCACAGUUUAACUGCCUUUAACAAGUACAUAGUGAGCAGCGGUUGUUACAGACAAACGUUCACAUAAUCUGCCCCA